AGAUUGAACGCUGGCGGCAGGCCUAACACAUGCAAGUCGAGCGGUAGAGAGGUGCUUGCAUCUCUUGAGAGCGGCGGACGGGUGAGUAAUGCCUAGGAAUCUGCCUAGUGGUGGGGGAUAACGUUCGGAAACGGACGCUAAUACCGCAUACGUCCUACGGGAGAAAGCGGGGGACCUUCGGGCCUCGCGCCAUUAGAUGAGCCUAGGUCGGAUUAGCUAGUUGGUGAGGUAAUGGCUCACCAAGGCGACGAUCCGUAACUGGUCUGAGAGGAUGAUCAGUCACACUGGAACUGAGACACGGUCCAGACUCCGUACGGGAGCAG
rnacentral:rRNA from 1 species